rnacentral:tRNA from 1 species
AGUGUCCAGGGAUGGGAAUCGAACCCAUAGUGUUCAGCUUACCGGGCAGAUGCCAUGUCCAGGGUAGCCUAGUGGACAC